CGGGGUGCAGCAGGCGCGAAAACUUCGCAAUAAGCGAAAGCUUGACGGGGCCAUCCCGAGUGCCAUCUGCUGAGGAUGGCUUUUACCUAGUGUAGAUAGCUAGGAGAAUAAGGAGAGGGCAAGUCUGGUGUCAGCCGCCGCGGUAAUACCAGCUCUUCGAGUGGUAGGGACGUUUAUUGGGCCUGAAGCAUCCGUAGCCGGCUGAGCAAGUCCUUCGUUAAAUCCAGCGAUUUAAUCGUUGGAUUGCGGGGGAUACUGUUCGGCUUGGGGGUGAGAGAGGCCAACGGUAUUUCCGGGGUAGGGGUGAAAUCCUAUAAUCCCGGGAGGACCACCAGUGGCGAAGGCUGUUGGCUAGAUCAUGCCCGACGGUGAGGGAUGAAAGCUUGGGGAGCGAACCGGAUUAGAUACCCGGGUAGUCCAAGCUGUAAACGAUGCAGGCUAGGUGUUAGGGCGGCCACGUGCCGCUCUAGUGCCGCAGGGAAGCUGUUAAGCCUGCCGCCUGGGGAGUACGGCUGCAAGGCUGAAACUUAAAGGAAUUGGCGGGGGAGCAC
rnacentral:rRNA from 1 species